UAAACACGGAAUAAAACUCUUGGUAAUAAAAUAUAGAUAAAAUUGUGAGUUCCAAAAUAGACAAAUCAAAAUAAAUAAUAUUCUAUGAAUCGUGGUCGUGAGCGGCGCGGGGGAAACAGGCGCCGAAGUGACUCCGGUGGGGGAUGGCUGCCGUUUGUAGUGGGCUUCGCUAUCGGGGCCUUCCUUGGCAUAAUAAACUGUCACCUAGACCCUGACUGGAUCGGAUCCGAUGAAGUGGACUCUGAUGGCAAAAGGAAGAGAAAAGCAGGAUUGUUGUCUGGAGCUUUAGCAGGAGUAUUUGGAGCUGGUGCAUCAGAAGACUCUUCAGGAGGUGAUGGCCAGAGAGCUAAGAGCAAAGACGGAUACGGGACAGACGAAGACGGAAAUUCAAAAAGUAUAGCGAUGUCGCAAGCCGUCCGGGAUAAAUUGGAUCAAGAUGGCAAAUCAUCCGAAGCCUCACGCGGAGAAAAUAAAGGUGGCAAAGGGUCAUAUGGAGUUAGCAAAACAUCUGGUGGAGCUAAUAUACCCUGUGAUGAUGUCAAUGCAGCCGGUGCUGUAAAUAAAUCGCCUGAAGAUACUACGUCAUCAGGAGGCAUAAAUAAAUCAUCGUCAGCAAGUGGCAACCGCGACGACGGCAUUUCUUCCAAUAAGGCAACUUCAGGACCAGCGGAAGAGUGUAUGGUAAUAGAUGCAACUAAAGUUAAAGACUUUUCUAUCGAAGAUAAGGCUGGUAAAACAUCUAUCCAAGAGGCGAGUGGCAACUCACAGAAAACUGCUCAAGGAUCUUCUAAAAGUGAAUCGCUAGCUCCUAUUGAUGGAAAAAAACCUUGCAAACCAAAAGCGGAGUCAAAAGUGGCAACCGAUGGAGCCAAUUCAAACACAACGGCUACUGGUGGUGGUGGAACAUCCUCGAAAGAACAGAAACCUUGUCCAGAAAAGGUAACAAAUACGAAAGAAGAAGGUAAAGACGAUUCAUUUUCAUCAGCUCAAAAACCAGGAACGACUAAAGAACUACCUGAUGGCCAUCCUUGCAAGACAAAGCUUGAACAAAAAAAGGAAAUGGAAAAUGUAAAGGAACCUUGUCCGGAGAAGAAAAAUUAGAAGUUCUAAUAUAGAAAAUACUGCACAGUAUUUAUUAACGGUGUUGCAAUAAACUAAAACGUAAAAGCUCCUUUGUGCUUAUUGUUGUACCGUUUGUUCCUGUAGUUGCGUUUGGGUAAAAUUUUGAAGACACUCGCUUGUGAGUUCAGGGAAAGCAGCAGCGUCAGCAAACCACAUUGUCUUUCGUACUAUCAUAGAAUAAGGAUUAUUUGUCUAUGGCAUCAAAAUAUCCCCUAAAUUAGCAGAAUCCUUGCUCUGAAAAGAUAAAUCUUCUUGUCUCUUCUCAAGUCUGAAUUGGUCUGAAAUUUUCUUCCAUAGAGUAAAAAUAAAUAAUCUUCUGUCAAAACAGCCCCAAAUCGAGUCCAAAUCGCAGUCUUUUUAAUAUCUAUAUUUUAUACCAUGUAUACAUUUACCUAAUCCAAAACCAAGAAUCAGAUAUAUGGUGCACAGCUGGGGCCACCAUGCGUCCUCACCCCGAGAUCAGAGUGCACGACUGUUUAAACGUACGCGGGCAGCAGAAUGCUUCUAGAGGGGGCUACGUGUGUGUCCCUGGCGAGCCUCGGCCGGGGGACAAGGGGGGUGGGGGCGGCGGCGGGGGCGGGGACCCGGGGGCAAGGCAGGGGGUGUUCUGGGUUGUGACGCCAGACGGCCGCGGUAGACCCGGACCUGGCCUGUGGUUUCUGGCGGGAAUCCUGGCGGGGUUUGCGUUCAGUACCGUAAUGUGCAAGCUCAACUGUGACUGGGCGCGGCUCGGGCAGAACCUGCGCGACUCACUCGGCUACUUGGGCCGGUGUGUUUGUCCAAAAAAACCUGAGCCCUCGUGAUAUUGUGGCGUUUUAAUAAAGUUUUUGUUGUGUA